GAUGAACGCUAGCUACAGGCUUAACACAUGCAAGUCGCGGGGCAGCAUGGGGGUUGCUUGCAAUCCCCGAUGGCGACCGGCGCACGGGUGAGUAACGCGUAUCCAACCUGCCCUUCACCACGGGAUAACCCGGCGAAAGUCGGACUAAUACCGUAUGUUGUCCAUUGACGGCAUCCGAUUUGGACGAAAGGUUUGGCGGUGAAGGAUGGGGAUGCGUCCGAUUAGCUGGACGGCGGGGUGACGGCCCACCGUGGCGACGAUCGGUAGGGGUUCUGAGGGGAAGGUCCCCCACACUGGAACUGAGACACGGUCCAGACUCCUACGGGAGGCAGCAGUGAGGAAUAUUGGUCAAUGGGCGUAAGCCUGAACCAGCCAAGUAGCGUGCAGGAUGACGGCCCUAUGGGUUGUAAACUGCUUUUAUGCGGGGAUAAAGUGGCCCACGUGUGGGUUUUUGCAGGUACCGCAUGAAUAAGGACCGGCUAAUUCCGUG
rnacentral:rRNA from 1 species